ensembl:snRNA U5 U5 spliceosomal RNA
UGCUCUGGUUUCUCUUCAGAUCGUGUAAAUCUUUUGCCUUUUACUAAAGAUUUCCAUGGAGAGGAAAAACAAAAAAAUUAUCUGGCAUUUUUUAGUCCCCUGCCGGCCUGGCUU